UUAUGAUAAUGGCAAAUCUAUUGAAAGAUAGAGACGCAAAGCUACGGGUCUAACACUAUUACAGUCAUGACAGCCGGGUUACCAAG
rnacentral:ncRNA from 1 species